CGACACCAGAAGGAAUGCCGUUUAAAGGCUUUUAGUUUGAAGAGGACAUCAGGUGUUUUCCUGUUUAGUAGCCAUGUAUUGACGCAGUCGAGAGCUGAGAUGGAGAGCGCCUUGCGGUCGCAGUAGGGACAGCAGACUUGACACACACACACACAGCUACUGAAACGGACCCAGAGACAGCGCAGAGACAAAAUUAAAACCCUUUUGUUUCCUUCUCGACCCUUCAGCAGGCUCAUGGAGAGCCGAGUACUCUCGGUCCGCACCGGAGAAAGGUUGAUCGGAUGCCUUUCACCACAGCAGCGCCGUUAGAUGUGUUCCAUUCAGGAUUAAUUGGUUGACCAAUGGCUUCCAAACAUGCGCUCCUCUCCAGCAGCGGCAGCGGUGGCCCCGGGGUCGGAGAGGUGAAAAAUAAAGAAGACCCCUGCUUCUUUUCUCCUACGGCAUGGCUCCUGGAUGCAGGGAUGCUGGCCAACUACACGCCGCAGAAAGUGAAGAGGACACGGGCACUGGAUGGGAUGUUGGCUCGGUGGUUUGUGACCAUCGGCGCGGUGCUGAUGCUGAUGAUGCAGAGCUCCUUGGCCGCUGACGCUGACGGAGGUCACCAUGAGUCAAUGAGGCAGGCUGACUUGCCUCUGGACCACGCAGUGCCCUCCAACCUCUCAUCCAACCCUGGGAUUGGAGACAGAACUGGGGCUACAGACAAGGAUGUGAUGGAUGACGCUGGUCCUGGUGCUGAAGCCGGACCUUGGCCCGAGGCUAAAGUGUUCACUGAGGCCAGAACAGCUGUUUGGACAGAAACAGAAGCAGGAGUGCGUACUUUAGCAGGUGGCAAAGUCUUUGCCGAGACUGGGAUUAUGACGGAAACAGGCGCCUGGGCUGGAGUUGGGGCCGAAUGGAGGCCGGUAGACACAGAAGGGGGUAACCUGCCAAGCAUUUCCAGGGAUCCAGCUGCCUGGUUGGGACAGCGGAGGCUACAGACGGCUGGAGAUGGCCAAAGAGAGCAGGCGGCAUUCUCAUCAGUCCUCACCAUGCUGACAGAGACGGCAGAGCUGCAGACACCAGCAGUGGGAAAACCUUUAGGGUUGCUGUCUAAAGCAGCUUGGACCAAAAGCUCCUCUUUAUCAUCAUCCAAGGCCUCCUCCCCUAUGACAAAAGCAUCCUCUCUUCCUUCCUCCUCCCCUUCCUCCUCUUCUCCAGCCACCAUCAAAGACAGUCAGACAGCAGAAUCACACAAUGUGUCUGCAGUUGUUGUCAGCAACAGCUCCUCUAACAACAGCUCCAGUUUUGCCUUGCUAUCACCACUACCAUCAUCUCCAUCACCCCAUUCAUCAUCAUGUUCUCAUCAUCCUCUCAUCUCCAUCAUCCUUGUCCUUCAUCGUCAUGUGUUGUCCCAUUUCACCACCUCCAUCCUGUCAUCACAAUAG
rnacentral:lncRNA from 1 species